CUCAAAUUUUCACCAUUCAAAAUGGUGUUAACAUCCUAGGGUACUUAGGGGUUCCAAAAGUCACCUUAAAACAAUUUUAACAAGACAAACAUGAACCCAAAAAAUCACCCUUUGGAUUUGGCCGAAAAUCCCCAAAAUCAUGACACCAAAUUUUAGCUCCAAUAUUCAUCCUCAUAUGAACUACAUCUACAACAUUUGAGAUGGCAAAUUUUCAAA
rnacentral:lncRNA from 1 species